GAUGAACGCUGGCGGCGUGCCUAAUACAUGCAAGUAGAACGCUGAAGGAAGGAGCUUGCUCUUUCCGGGUGAGUUGCGAACGGGUGAGUAACGCGUAGGUAACCUGCCUGGUAGCGGGGGAUAACUAUUGGAAACGAUAGCUAAUACCGCAUAACAGUAGAUGUUGCAUGAUAUCUACUUAAAAGGUGCAAUUGCACCACUACCAGAUGGACCUGCGUUGUAUUAGGUAGUUGGUGAGGGAACGGCCCAACAAGGCGACGAAACCUAGCCGACCCGGGGGGGGGGUCCGCCACACCGGGACUGAGAAACCGCCCAGACUCCUACGGGAGGCAGCCGUAGGGAAUCCUCGGCAAUGGACGGAAGGCUGAACGAGCAACGCCGCGUGGGUGAAGAAGGUUUUCGGAUCGUAAAGAUCUGUUGUAAGGGAAGAAAGAGUGUGGGAGUGGAAAGUUCACACUGUGACGGUAUCUUACCAGAAAGGGACGGCUAACUACGUG
rnacentral:rRNA from 1 species